CUAUUCCCAAAAGAAAACCCACCGCCAGAACCUACCAAAAACACACCCGCGUACUCCAAUGUAUACCACGACAUACGCAUACAUCUCCGUAUAUACGGAACCACCCCGUAUGUCAUCUUCCUCAUCCUCCGACAACAGUACAAUCUAGUCAUUACAAUUCAUCCUUUUGCUCCGUGAUUUCACCACGUCGAAUUUCGUGAAGCUUCAAAUCAAUCAUCUACCGUCCACCUCGCUUUGGAAUCAUUCAUUCAAAUCGAUUCUAGAAUAGUACCAACUCGUACUAAUUCAAGCUGCCUAAUUUGAUCCCAUCAAGUUUUGAUGUCGAUUCUCUGCUUCUCGAGUUGAGCCUGUGGUGGUGGAAGCUAGUCUCAGUCAUCGGCUCCGAUUUGCUGCCUAGAAAGAGGUAGAAUUUUUAUUUUAGCCUUGUUUUGUUUUAAGUCUUUUUCUUUAUUGAUUUAUGUCUAGGUAUUCUUAAGUAUGUUUAAUUUUUGUUAGAAUCUGAUCAUUUUGCUGAAUAUAAGCUAGAAAUGGUUCUCACUUUCUAUUAACUGUUAGCAUCCUUAUCAUUCGAUGUUUGUAAAAAUAAUAUGUCUUCCUAGCUUCUAGUUCAUCUUUCUUGUUGUUUUAUCGGAGUCCAUUCAUGAAGUUUAUUGUUCGUGUUGGUGUUCAUCCUUACAUGUGCUCUUGUUGUGAAUAAUAAGCAUCUGAAAUCAUGUUUAUACAUUUUAUUCGUAGAAACAUCAAAUGUAUUGGUUAGGGUUCACUGUUAAGAGCUAUUGUUUUGAAAGUUAUAUUUUUCUAGAAUUUUCUUUGGCGUGACGGUUCCAUUGCCAAUGUUUCUUCGUCGUUGAUAUUCGUUCAAGCUCUAAUUCGCUAGCAACUUGCUUUGGUAUAGUUUCGAAUUUAUUUCAAUAAUUGUUGCCUUAAAAUAAUUUCUAAAUCUAUGAAUCUUUUUAGUUUUGGUUCGAAAAAUGUGUUUUUGUUUAGCUUAAAGCUAAUCUUGUUUUGGUUUCUGCAUAUUCCCUUUUUGCUUGCUAUUUUCUUAAAAUUCAUGGUUGUUUCAGUUUUCUUUUUGUAUCUCUUUGUGUGUCGAUCUCUCGUUAUGAUUGUCUUUGGUUUAAUUUUCAUACUUGGUACGUCUUUGGGCUUAGGUGUUUUUAAUAAUGUAUCAGUUAUCAUGUGUUAUGUCUCAUUAGAUCAAUGGCUGAAAUUCUCUUUAUCCUGUCUAAAAUCUAGCAUAUGAUUUUCCCAGUUUUCUUUUCUUUUGUUUUAGCACCAACAUGUUUGUAUCCCGCUCCGUCUUCCCUUAGCUCUGAAAUGCUCUUCAUUAGAACAAAAUUUGUUAUCCUUUACUGCUUAAUUUUAUUUCCACAUGUUAAGGAUAUGAUCGUAUAAUGAUAAGUUUAUAUGUGUUGUCCAUGAAAUUUUGAUAGCUUAUUGGAGGUAUCUCAUUUACCUCCUCUAGCUCUUUAUUGUUCUUAUAUGAUCUGGCUAUUUCAUAGUAUUUAGAAGUUGCUUGUUAUGCAUUUAGUAAUUUUCAAACUUAUGGAAUUAUCCAUUUUUGUUGGUUGUUAAUAAACCAUCUUAAAGAUUGUAAAAAAUAUAUAGACUAAUCCAUUGUCAGUUAUUUAUUGUUAGUGCCAUGGCUUGGUAUUAUAUUGCCCAUACAACAGAGUCUCCUUUUUUCUUCAUUGACUGAACCCAUCCUUUUUUUUUAAUGAUUUAAGCACUACAUUUAAGUAAUAAAUUGUCAUUUUUGGAAGUUCUAUUACCACGAUUUUGAAGCAGUAUUUUAGCAUAUCAUGUCAUCUGUUUAAGUUAGUGUACCUAAAUUUUAAAUAUGUUGUUUCUUAUAUAAUCCUCUAUUUAUGUACUUAUUUAAUUAUUUCCCUUUGCAUGUGAAACUCCACCCGAGUCCCUUGUGGACAUUCUCCUCUCUAUGCAUUUUUGAAAUGGGUCAUGGAGGCCCAAGUCCCUUUUAUCGAGUCGGGCAACUAUCUUGUUCGCAGAAAUGAAAGCUAGAAUACAGGGAAUGUAGCUGCUUUACAGGCUUCGGAUGCUGAAACCAGACUGUAUACACUUAGUAUACUGUCUGAUAUAAAGGAAAUACAAGUGGAAAAAUAGGAGUUAUAAACUGAUAUAUAGGGUUGGUAUACAGCAGUAUACAAAAAAACUGAAAUGGGCUAGAAAAGCCCAAAUGCAACAAUUUGGUCCAAGUUCCUGGCCCAGGUGAACAGAACCAAACUUGGGCCCAAUAUUUAUUUCCUUUUAUUGUAUUUAAUUUGUUUAA